GCCUGGGUGGCUCAGUCAGUUGAGCGUCUGACUUCAGCUCAGGUCAUGAUCUCACAGUUCGUGGGUUCGAGCCCCAUGUUGGGCU
rnacentral:tRNA from 1 species